rnacentral:rRNA from 1 species
UAGGGAAUCUUCCACAAUGGACGCAAGUCUGAUGGAGCAACGCCGCGUGAGUGAAGAAGGUUUUCGGAUCGUAAAGCUCUGUUGUUGGUGAAGAAGGAUAGAGGCAGUAACUGGUCUUUAUUUGACGGUAAUCAACCAGAAAGUCACGGCUAACUACGUGCCAGCAGCCGCGGUAAUACGUAGGUGGCAAGCGUUGUCCGGAUUUAUUGGGCGUAAAGCGAGCGCAGGCGGAAUGAUAAGUCUGAUGUGAAAGCCCACGGCUCAACCGUGGAACUGCAUCGGAAACUGUCAUUCUUGAGUGCAGAAGAGGAGAGUGGAACUCCAUGUGUAGCGGUGGAAUGCGUAGAUAUAUGGAAGAACACCAGUGGCGAAGGCGGCUCUCUGGUCUGCAACUGACGCUGAGGCUCGAAAGCAUGGGUAGCGAACAGGAUUAGAUACC